rnacentral:rRNA from 1 species
UACGUAGGGCGCAAGCGUUGUCCGGAAUUAUUGGGCGUAAAGAGCUCGUAGGUGGCUUGUCACGUCGGGUGUGAAAGCUUGGGGCUUAACUCCAGGUCUGCAUUCGAUACGGGCUGGCUAGAGGUAGGUAGGGGAGAACGGAAUUCCUGGUGUAGCGGUGAAAUGCGCAGAUAUCAGGAGGAACACCGGUGGCGAAGGCAGUGUUCUGGGCCAGUACUGACGCUGAGGAGCGAAAGCGUGGGGAGCAAACAGG